rnacentral:rRNA from 1 species
AACGUAGGAGACAAACGUUAUCCGGAGUUACUGGGCGUAAAGGGCGUGUAGGUGGUUUUGUAAGUCUGGCGUGAAAUUUUUCGGCUUAACCGGGAAAGGUCGUCGGAUACUGCGGAGCUAGAGGACGGUAGAGGCGUGUGGAAUUCCGGGUGUAGUGGUGAAAUGCGUAGAGAUCCGGAGGAACACCAGUGGCGAAGGCGACACGCUGGGCCGUACCUGACACUGAUGCGCGACAGCAUGGGGAGCAAACAGG